GUUCGAGCGUCAUUAUAACCCCUCAAGCCCAGCUUGGUGUUGGGGCCUGCUGUUACCGGCAGCCCUUAAAAUCAGUGGCGGUGCAUCUGGCUCUAAGCGUAGUAAUACUUCUCGCUACAGGGUCCUGGUGGAUGCUUGCCAUCAACCCCUAAAUUUCUAUGGUUGACCUCGGAUCGGGUAGGGAUACCCGCUGAACUUAA
rnacentral:misc_RNA from 1 species